rnacentral:rRNA from 1 species
CCUCUGGGUCCAACCUCCCACCCGUGUUUAUUUACCUUGUUGCUUCGGCGGGCCCGCCUUAACUGGCCGCCGGGGGGCUCACGCCCCCGGGCCCGCGCCCGCCGAAGACACCCUCGAACUCUGUCUGAAGAUUGAAGUCUGAGUGAAAAUAUAAAUUAUUUAAAACUUUCAACAACGGAUCUCUUGGUUCCGGCAUCGAUGAAGAACGCAGCGAAAUGCGAUACGUAAUGUGAAUUGCAAAUUCAGUGAAUCAUCGAGUCUUUGAACGCACAUUGCGCCCCCUGGUAUUCCGGGGGGCAUGCCUGUCCGAGCGUCAUUGCUGCCCUCAAGCCCGGCUUGUGUGUUGGGCCCCGUCCUCCGAUUCCGGGGGACGGGCCCGAAAGGCAGCGGCGGCACCGCGUCCGGUCCUCGAGCGUAUGGGGCUUUGUCACCCGCUCUGUAGGCCCGGCCGGCGCUUGCCGAUCAACCCAAAUUUUUAUCCAGGUUGACCUCGGAUCAGG